rnacentral:rRNA from 1 species
AGAGUUUGAUCAUGGCUCAGAUUGAACGCUGGCGGCAUGCCUUACACAUGCAAGUCGAACGGCAGCGCGGGGGCAACCCUGGCGGCGAGUGGCGAACGGGUGAGUAAUAUAUCGGAACGUGCCCUGGAGUGGGGGAUAACGUAGCGAAAGUUACGCUAAUACCGCAUACGAUCUACGGAUGAAAGUGGGGGAUCGCAAGACCUCAUGCUCCUGGAGCGGCCGAUAUCUGAUUAGCUAGUUGGUAGGGUAAAAGCCUACCAAGGCGACGAUCAGUAGCUGGUCUGAGAGGACGACCAGCCACACUGGGACUGAGACACGGCCCAGACUCCUACGGGAGGCAGCAGUGGGGAAUUUUGGACAAUGGGGGCAACCCUGAUCCAGCAAUGCCGCGUGUGUGAAGAAGGCCUUCGGGUUGUAAAGCACUUUUGUCAGGAAAGAAAUCCCCUGGGUUAAUACCUCGGGGGGAUGACGGUACCUGAAGAAUAAGCACCGGCUAACUACGUGCCAGCAGCCGCGGUAAUACGUAGGGUGCAAGCGUUAAUCGGAAUUACUGGGCGUAAAGCGUGCGCAGGCGGUUGUGCAAGACAGAUGUGAAAUCCCCGGGCUCAACCUGGGAAUUGCAUUUGUGACUGCACGGCUAGAGUGUGUCAGAGGGGGGGGUAGAAUUCCACGUGUAGCAGUGAAAUGCGUAGAUAUGUGGAGGAAUACCGAUGGCGAAAGCAGCCCCCUGGGAUAACACUGACGCUCAUGCACGAAAGCGUGGGGAGCAAACAGGAUUAGAUACCCUGAUAGUCCACGCC